GCGAUUUUUAUGCACCAAGUGCAUUCGGACCUCGGAGCAAAGAAAAGCAGAAUCAGGAAGAACAGAAAGCAAAGAGCAGAGCCGAACACAACAGAAAGACCAAAGACAAAUUCCUGCGUUUUUCCAGGAAUUCACUCAAUAAACUCAAACAAAACCCAAACAUUAAACAAACGAGCCACAGCCACAACCAUAUCCACAUCCACAUCCACAUCCCAGCCAGACGACGGCGAAGAUGCUGACCAAGACGGAAGGCGAAGAUGAGGAUGAGAUGGGGGCUCCAAGCGGGUAAUUCUGGACGGGGAUGGGGGGACGACUACGAUGCGAAGCGCUGAGCAAAACACAAAAUAAACCAAAAAGCAGCCAAGGAAUUUAAAACAAGAACACCAUGGUGUUGUCGCACUCCACGAGCUUGGAGCUGUGAAUGUGAAACGAAUGGUCAUAG
ensembl:ncRNA lncRNA:CR44513 long non-coding RNA:CR44513